UGUGCGGGUUAUCAAAACUUGUCACAGGGUUUUUAUUCCCUGUGUGCGUCCCUCCCUGCGCCUAAAUUUGGCAACAGAUCCACACUCGGUGUGUCUCUGAAUUUAUUAUUUUAUAUUUAUUUCUUAAUUUAUUCAUUAAAUUUAUUACUAUUAGUA